rnacentral:rRNA from 1 species
AAGGGUCCGUAAAACGGUAAAUUAAGCGACUUUUAUAAUGAAAAAAGAAAUUAAAUCGAACUAAUUUACUAGAGUCUUAUAGAGGAACAGAGGAAUUGCAAGAGUAAGGAUAAAAUCUAUUGAUACUUGUAGGACCGCCAAUGGCGAAGGCAUCGUUCCAGGUAUAGACUGACGUUGAGGGACGUAGGCGUUGGGAGCGAAAAGGAUUAGAUACCCCUGUAGUCAACGCUGUAAACGAUGAGUGCUUAAGAUUAGUUAAAAAUAAUAAUUGUUUUGAAGGACAAUUCAAAAUUAGUCUCGAAAUGAAGAUGUUAAGCACUUCACCUGGGGAGUACUGUCGCAAGGCUGAAACCCAAAACAUUAGACGGUCACGGAAACCAGCAGUGAAGCAUGUUAUUUAAUACGAUGAUCCGCGUACAACCUUACCACUUCUUGAAUGUCCUUUUUUUUAAAGGCCUAUUUAAUUAAUAUUAAAAAUUUUUGCUGUCCUUAUGAUUAAUUCAUAAGUUAAAGCCGAAAUUAUUUUUUUGAUGAAAUUAAAUUUGGAUAAAUACAACAUUUAAUAAUAAUUAUUAUUAUUAUUAUUAAAUUAGUAUAAUCCUAUUUAUUAUUUUAACAACAUUAAUUAAAUUUGGAUAAAUACAACAGGCGUUGCAUGGCUGUCUUCAGUUCGUGUCGUGAGAUGUCAGGUUCAUUCCGGUAAACGAAUGAAACCCUUCUUUCUUAAUUUUUAAUUUAUAUUCUUUUCUUUGAAAUAAGUUAGAAUUAAAUUCAUUAAGAUGAUUCUUGGAUAACGAGGAUAUAAUGGGGAUUAAGACAAGUCGUCAUGGCCUUUAUGAAGUGGGCUAUAGACGUGCCACAAGAGCCUUUACAAUAGGAUGCUAAGACGUGAGUCAGCGCUAAACCUUAAAAAAGGCUAUGUUCGGAUUGUAGUCUGCAACUCGACUACAUGAAGCAGGAAUUGCUAGUAAUCGUAA